AGGUGUAUGGCGGGUCUGUGCACGUGCCGGAUAUGCUUCCGCUGGUACCCGGGCGUGACAGAUUAUAGUGGUAUCAGAGCCUAGGGUUGAGUCUUAGUAGACCUAGCAAACCUUAGGCUGGUUGGACUAUAAGGAUAGGCUCGUGAGAGACGAUGUCUAGUUGAGGUUGUGGUUAGCGAAAGUACUUUGAUUGGGUACUUAUAAACUCCGAAUAGUAGGAGUUUGAUCGGGAUGUGUAAAUACUAACUUUGCAGAGGGUCACGUUGGCGGCCGACAACGUGACAUCGGAAGUUAGUACGCGAUACAUUUCAUUACUUUCGCUUCAUUAGCUGGUUUAUAUCCUCAGUGAGGGUUCAAUAGUAUAGGAUUUAUUGACCUAUGUUUGUUUUUUUGCUGCAGUUUAAGAUGCCGUUGACUCGUUCGCAAGCCGCCGGGUCAGCUGAGGCGGCAGAUGCAGAGGAAGUGGGGACUUCUGUUACUUCGGGAUCUAGUGGGAUCCAUGAGUUGCAGGAUCAGCUCGCGAAGCUGACAGAUUUGGUUGCUCAGCAGGCUGCGGCCGCGCGACAGCAGAUGGAUGCCGCGCGUCGGCAGGAGGACAGGAUGAAGAGGUUAGAGGAUUUACUAUUGCGACAGACGACUAACAGGGAGAUUGCGGAUCCUAUACCUACAGUACC
rnacentral:lncRNA from 1 species